rnacentral:rRNA from 1 species
CCCUUAGAUGUUCUGGGCCGCACGCGCGCUACACUGAUGAAUUCAACGAGCUCCUAACCUAGGCCGAAGGGUCCGGGUAAUCUUUGAAAUUUCAUCGUGAUGGGGAUAGAUUAUUGCAAUUAUUAAUCUUCAACGAGGAAUUCCUAGUAAGCGCGAGUCAUCAGCUCGCGUUGAUUACGUCCCUGCCCUUUGUACACACCGCCCGUCGCUCCUACCGAUUGAAUGGUCCGGUGAAAUGUUCGGACCGCGGCAAGGCGGACGGUUCGCUGUCAGCUUUGCUGCGGGAAGUUCAUUAAACCUUAUCAUUUAGAGGAAGGAGAAGUCGUAACA